rnacentral:lncRNA from 1 species
UUCUUAGGAGGUUUUGGCAAAAAGAAAACAACUAGAUAACGUUCAUGAGAAGCAUAAAUUGUACAGUGUUAUAUGAAGAGUGCUAGCCUUACUAAAUGUCAUCGUCAUCAUCCUAUAAAACUGUGAGUCUAUCGUCAGACUCCUGAAAUGUCUGGGGGUUUCGAGAUGACUUCACAGUAGUUCUAGAGGCUCGUUCAUGUGGUGUCAAGGUCGGCUGGCCACUCAGUCCCAUUUGGGGGCCGGUACAGCAUCUCAGAGAGCAUCUCGAAGCGUUUUGAUUAAGAGGCCAUUUCCUGAAUUCAGAGGACUUGUUUCAACAAGCAAGCAUCAAAGUCAACUUGGGAAAGACAGGAAUCAUUAAUCACAGCCCCGUUCAGGGCUGCCCAAGCGGCAGAUGGAUUGAUAAACCUUUCAAAGGG